ACCUCUUUCACCCCUCUCCUGAUGUGCUCCAUGCUGCUCUCGCGACAGAUAUGACGGUGAACCUUUGGUUGCACGGCGCGGCGGCUCGCCAUGGGACUCGACGCCGGUGGAGCUCCACAUGUCGGACGAGGAUGGGGGCACCGUGGCCAGUCCCGUGACACCAUGCCUCUCCCACCUCUUUCGGUGGCUUUCUCUACUGCCCCUGGAGCUCAACGUGGAGGGACUCGCCAUGCAUUGCGCAUCGUUCUGGACGCGGCUGCCCACUACCCUGCAAGUCGACUGUUCCAACGCCCACCAAGUGUUCGACGUAAUGUUUGCACGGCUGUAGGUAAAAGAAAAUCACUUCUAUCCAUAAACCGUUUCAAAGGUUAUAUGCGUGUUCCAUCCCAAGCACAAUUAUAUUUCUUUACAUGCACCUUUUGUGAUAUGUCUGCUUAUGCAAUGAGGCUCAGCCUGCUACUGAUUAUUGCAGUUUGGAAAUAUGUUGAAAGAGAACUUUACUGUCAAGAAGCCCUCCAUAGGAAAUAGGAUGCAGUGUAAAAUGGACUGUGCCUUAACCCUUGUUUGGUAUAAACUUCAUGGAUGAGGCAAUUGAGCCCUACACAACAAGCAUAUUUAAUGCAUCAAGGUUGUUAGGCACAAUUGUUCAUGUAGAACCAUCUGCUAAACUUACUGUGACUUCCUUUCCAGGAUUCUCCAUGGAAUCUUCGAACAGAUCAAUGGAUAAAGCAAAAGAACGUCCAUACGGGGCUCUGUCAGGCCUGCUGCUUCAGGUCGUCCUCCCCAAGAGUGUGAGAAGAAGCUGCUGCUGCAGAAUGUACCGCACGCUAUAUACUCAUGGGUCUUCAGGACAGAGAUGGGAGGCUCUUCUACAAGCUUGUGAUCGACAUCGGGGAGCUGCAUAUCCUUAUUUAUAGAGAUAAUUAGAAGUUUGUUAGAAAUUUCGUGUGCUCUGCAUCUAAUUUCAUAGGAAGUACAUCUACUGUAGUAGCAUGCAAGUGGGUUCAUGCCAUUAUACAUAGCACGUUCCAGCUGUUGUAUAUCCUUACUUUGAGAGACAAUUAGUAGUUUCUGAGAAUAUAUUUCAUAGCACGAGCACAUAGCUAUGAGAGAUUAUUAGAGCAGUAGUUCUGCCUACUACCACAUGUAUUUUUCCGUUGAUUGUACAAGUUCACAUGUACAUCUCUGAAUAAAGAAGAACCUUAUUACUGAAGUUAUAGAACAGAGGUGGUGUUGCUCUAUAUAUACAGGCUAUUAUUUGCAUGCUUUGCUGAAUAAGUGCAGUUUAGAAUGAGUUGAAAUCUAAGAGCAGACAGUUGCAUGUUCGACUUCCGUUUUGCAGUACCAUUUCUUACUUCCAAUUAGAAUAGUUGUCGUUCAGUAUUUGCCUAGCUCUAAUACCAUUCCUCACAAAAUACAUGCACCUUUUUUAGUGUCCGAAUUUUAUUAUCUGUUGGUGAUCAGUUUUUCCUACUCCAGUUGUUGGAUGUGCUAUCCUCCCUUCUCACUCUCGGGCUCUAGCAGCAAAUGGACGGCAAGCAUCACGAAGCAGCUCAGCUCCAUCGCCUUCAGUGGUGGCAAGGUCUGUAUGCUCAGCCCAACCCCGAUGCUCUCUGUGCAUUUUAUUUAUACACCAAAAUACACUGAAUGGAGGACAAGUUCUACUUUUUGUUAAUGGAGCUAGCUUGAUCGAUCUAAUCCCGGCGGAUGCGCUAAUUUUUGUUCAUGCCCACGUGUAUUUGUGUUGAUGUCUGCAAAGGAGCAAGCGUACUAGAGGGAUGGUUGGAAGGGGAGUAAUCUGCUACAAUGUUUUACAUCUUUUAUAGUUAUUUUUUGAAUCUGUGAUAUAAUAUAUAAUGCAUUCCGUAGAAACCAAAAUGAUGUUCAUUGGAGCUUCUCUCUUGGUAUGAUUCUUUCAUUCGUUUCUUCUUUGAGGAAACUCCAUACUUGAAAAAUGUCUCUUCAUGGCUUCUUCAAAGUUUUUUCUGUAGUUUUCAGUCUUGGGUGCAUGCAGUUUCUUCAUGUCACGUCUGAAAUUUGGAGCCAUGUAUGUAAGUACAUUCUAAUUGGCAGAGCCUUCCCGGUUUAUGAUACUAAAUGAGGUACUUCUAUAUAUAGGUUUGCACCGUGUCAUUUUUUCCUGUGAUUAAUUGAUCUUCAUACCAAGAAAAUCAUGUUCGAGGGAUAUUGUGCAUAAUCUGAUUUUCAGUGCUUUUUAUGAGAACAGGGUUGUCAAGUAAUUAUUUUUAAAAGAAUUCACAAUGCAAACAAUGAUUUUAGCAAAAAUAUGCAGUAGCUUCUCCAAUGUGCUGCCACUUCAGAUGUACCCCCACACAGCGAAGAUCCUAUUAUCGCGUACACAGGAGCAAAACCACCUGACGUGUCCAAGAAUUUGCAGAAGCUUUAUAUCACUUUAUUACAUUCACUAAUCUUGCAGGAGGCUAUACCAGGAUGAUCUAAUUCAGUAAAAAAUAUUUGCGACAUCUUAUUGUAGUACGGUUGUAUGACCAUACACAGCCCUAUGUAGAGUGCACGGCACAUGGUUUUAAUAAGUAGCUUUUAUUAGAGGUGUGCCAAUGUCAAUUGUUUGUCAGUGUCUAUUGUGCAUGAUUGUAAUAAAUGUACUUCUUCGA